rnacentral:tRNA from 1 species
GGAAGGGUGCCCGGAAUGGUAACGGACCGCUCUCGAAAAGCGGCGCUCGAAAGGGCGUGUGGGUUCGAGUCCCACCCCUUCCG